CCUACGGGUGGCUGCAGUGGGGAAUAUUGGACAAUGGGCGCAAGCCUGAUCCAGCCAUGCCGCGUGUGUGAAGAAGGCCUUCGGGUUGUAAAGCACUUUCAGUGGGGAAGAAAGCCUUGGGGCUAAUACCCUCGAGGAAGGACAUCACCCACAGAAGAAGCACCGGCUAACUCCGUGCCAGCAGCCGCGGUAAUACGGAGGGUGCGAGCGUUAAUCGGAAUUACUGGGCGUAAAGCGCGCGUAGGCGGUCUGAUAAGCCGGUUGUGAAAGCCCCGGGCUCAACCUGGGAACGGCAUCCGGAACUGGCAGGCUAGAGUGCGGGAGAGGAAGGUAGAAUUCCCGGUGUAGCGGUGAAAUGCGUAGAGAUCGGGAGGAAUACCAGUGGCGAAGGCGGCCUUCUGGACUGUCACUGACGCUGAGGUGCGAAAGCGUGGGGAGCAAACAGGAUUAGAUACCCUUGUAGUC
rnacentral:rRNA from 1 species